rnacentral:lncRNA from 10 species
UGACUUAUCUAUGUGGGAUAUUGAGUAUCCAUUGAAAUGGAUUUGUUCAGCCAUUUACAUUAAUGAGCAUUUAAAUGCAACAGAUAUCAUUUCAGGUGACUUAACAUGAAUGAAUAAAAGUCAAUGCUAUUGGAUUGUUUUUUGUUUGACAAGUGCUAUCUGUGCCACUGAUUUAACUUCUGUAGUAACAAGGGCAUUACCAUUCUUCACCUUUCCUAAUUCUGAUCCCAUAGUUUUACAUUUUUCCUGUUUAUUUUGAUUUUGUUCACUGCUUUAUUUCUUAAAGUUCUAGCACAUCUGUGACUCCUCCACUUCCACAUUUUUGCACUGCUUACACUUACGUGCAAUCUUAUUCCUUGUCUGCACACACAUGUGGAAAGCUAGAAAUAAAUGUUAAAACUUACUUUUUAUAAACAUUUUAAUAUGUAGUUUGGACAUGAUUUAUUGACUUAAGGUUCUUCUCUAAACUGGAAGUGAAAUGCAUGCCUUCUGAAGAUGUUCUGGCUUUGUUAAUUCUGUAAUCAUUUCAUUGGGGAAAAAACCAGCUACGCAGUUUUUCCAAUGAGUGAAUUUUUUCAUUUUGUGUUUUGCUUAAAACGGCUCCUUCAGGGUAGAUGUCAUACUGCAUAACUUUUUUGGAUUCAAAUUAUGAAUGAGAAAUUAGUUAACAUUCUGCUCCACAAGGUAAGAAAAACUGCUCUUUGGCUCUAUUUUCAAAAUUACUUCUGAGAUGCAUAUAGUCUCAAAAUAACAGCUUUAGUAGGCAUAUCACUUCUUGAAAGCCAAACAUGAGUGUAAGACACUUUUAUGAAACACGGUGGAUCCCUAACUGGCUUUCAAAUUGACCUUUAUAGCCUUAGACAACCCUUAGGUAUUUACGGAGAUGACUUCUUUGAUUGUCAUAACAAUUAGUGGAUGUGUCCAGUUCUCUGUAUCUUUGACUUGAUGCUUUAUACAUCAUUUCAUUUGUUGCUUCUAAGGGAAUAAGCCAUAGAGGCUUCUCCAGGUUUAAAAGAACAGUAAAGUACCUGGAAAACCAACAUUUUUGAAUGUAUGGACACUGGACAUGAGAUAUGUACAAUGAAAUCUUAAAAGAAUCUAAGAAUUUGCCCUCUUUGCCCCACUCCACCCAGUAAUUUGACAUUACUAGUGCCAUGUAUAGGACCCAACUGAGUAUUAGAAUCAGUUUUGACUAUGUCUUUGUAUUUCCUAAAUCUUUUAAUGCAUAAACCGAAUUAGGGUCCAGUUGGCCUGUUAAUGGUAAAUUUACAUUUUAAAUGACUCAGUUUGUUUUUCCUGGGCGAGUUUGCAAUGUGAUAAUCAGAUUUUUUAAAACUGAUUAAUUUGCUUUCUUGUGUGGGUGUACUCACAUUUUAAAGUAUGAACCACAGUUAACUAGUGGUCUCAGGGGUAGUGAAACACUCACUUUUUUUUUUGUUUGUUUUUUUUUGUUUGUUGAAAUGGCUUAGUUGAAGUAUACUUAAGGUACUGAUCAUGCUGUGUUAGUAAUUUGGGCGGGGAGGGGGGUAACUCAGCCAUGUUUUGUGUUGGCAUAACAAAACUGUUAAUGAUUGUUGAUUACACUUUUAAGUGAAUUUGUCUUUUAUGAGGAACCCAGUGCAAGUCACUAAAUAUUGUCUAAUAGUGACAUCUGCAUAAGACUUGUAAUAGCUGAAGUUAAUUGAGCUUAAAGGAAUUGUUACCAUUAAAGUCUGUGUUU